UCGCUGAGUGAAGAGGCUCUGAGACUAGAGUUUGAGAACAUCUGCCUAAGGAAGAGCUUACGAAUUCCAAAACCAUGGCAGGAAUGGCGAUCCUUAGAGAAGAUGGAUUCAUUUCAGGGACAUGUUAACUGUAAAAAGAUCAACUCUUCCUCUCUGAACCAACAGCCUGUGUCUACUCCCAAGUGCAAGUGUCCUGAGAGAGGUAUGGCUGCAUGCCUGCCAGGGAGUUUCCUUCCUUUACUUCAUAGCACUGUUUGUUCACAACAUUUUCUUCCUUAUUGACUUGAACACAAGGACACCACCUACCUCAUGUCUUCCUUCUUCCCGUGGAUGUCCAGAUGAAGCACUCCACACUCCUUUGAGAGAGAUAAACAAGGAAGAUGUGUGCUUAGUCCAGAGGUUUCAUCAAGAAAUGAAAGCAGAGACAAUAAAGUUUUGGUCUUGGUUCUCCUGUUGGCUUCAGAAUGAACAUAAUUAAGAUGAUUAACGAUCAACUCAGGCCUGAAAAAUGAGUAACUGUAGGUCAUGUUGCCAUGAAGUUACGAAGAAAAAGAACUCUUCAGAGGUGUAUACAUGUUCCUGGCCACUCUGCUUCUUAGGGUGGAGUUAGAGGACUCCCCGCCCUCCUUGCCUGCGAAGGAGGAGGCGUGGCCACACAGAUAAAGCUGGUCUGAAAAGAGCAUGGCUUUAUUUGUUCUGGGGCCAGGAACCUGUGGAUUGGAUGAUUCUGCGUUGUGGCAGCAUUGUCAACUGAUGGACCCACCAGUUCCUGAAUCCUGCUGACUAAUGGAUCAUUGUCAACUUGCUGGAGCUUUGAGGAAGGGCUUCAGAAGCUGAUGGCAUAGUUAUGAGAGGGGUGAAGACUGCGACUGCAUUUCCAACAGACCCUGAGGACAAUUGGGAAGAAUGCGCUGAAUAUUUUUGAGCAAUUUCUAUAUGAUAAGCAGUUUUUAGGCAAGGGGGAUGAGUCCAUAAGAUGACACUGGAAAAGGGGAUUGGCUUGAGUGCACCAGGGGGCCAGAGACAUGGGUCAUCCCUGGUGACGGGAGUUGGAAUGCUCCCCUGAGAUGGAGACUGGAAGUACAAGAAAGAAGAAAGUUGUUGUGAGGGCAAGUAUAGGUUGCACUGAUCCUGACCUUUUGGCCUGAGGAUGGAAGUCUUCAGUAUCUGUACAACUUUACUCCCAAGAGCUGGUGUAGAAUGAGUUCCUCUGGCCAUGGGAGGAUCGCAGAGGGGCACCUGCCACCAGCAGCCCAGCCUCAGCACUUUUCUCUUCAGCGUCUUCUUCAAGGUAUUUCCAGUUGCCCGCCCUGAACUGUUUCAGAAUGAGGAGGACACCUGGAGGAAUCUACACGUGCAUAGACCAAUUUGCAAAAGAACCUGUGAGCCAACAUUAUUACCUCAGCUGGAAGAAUUAAUAAGCAACACGUUCACCCAAGAAGUAUUUACUGAGCACCUACUAUGUGCAUUAUUUUCUGGUGUUGGGGCUAGGGGGCAAACGACUCUGACAAGUCUCUGUUCUCAAGGCUGGAGUGCAGCGGCGCGAUCUCGGCUCACUGCAAGCUCCGCCUCCCGGGUUCACGCCAUUCUCCUGCCUCAGCCUCCCGAGUAGCUGGGACUACAGGCGCCCGCAACCACGCCCGGCUAAUUUUUUGUAUUUUUAGUAGAGAUGGGGUUUCACCAUGUUAGUCAGGAUGGUCUCGAUUUCCUGACCUUGUGAUCCGCCCGCCCCCGCCUCCCAAAGUGCUGGGAUUACAGGCGUGAGCCACCGCGCCCGGCCGUAGUUUACAUUUUCUAAAGCGUACUCUGCCAGCCAAGUGGCAAACAGACUUGGGCCUCUUAAGAGUGGAAGCAGGAGGAAACCCGAAGAUCCUGGAGAGAGACUGGUGGCUGGUACCAGUGGAGAGGGAGCAAAAAGGAAAAUACAGGAUACAAUUUCAGGAAAAAUUUCAUACCAAUUUCCUGAGGUAAUUUCUGAACUCGAACAUUUUCAGUGUCACCACAUUGUGUUUCCUGCUGAAUCAAGUCUACAUCACUUCGGUUUUUAAAGCCUUCCACGAUCCUUCCCUGAACACUGUAGUUUUCACUGAUGGUUGGCUGUUUCAAACUCCCAUAUGAUCCAUACUGUAUCAUUAAUAAGCAAGCAAGGAAUAACACACCCUCUGCUAUUCUGUGCAGUGUUUCAGGUUUUUAGUUUUCUCUUUCAAGAUAGAAAAUCCCUUUAGAGUAGGAACUCGGCUGGCACUUUCUUUCACAUCCUGCAUAGCACUUAGCAAAGUUCUGUACACAGGGCACAUGUGGAAAUUGCUUAUUGAUUGAUUAAAAGCAUAUAUCACUGGCAUUUGUAUCUUCAGUAUUUCUCUUGUAUGAAGAAGGGUGAUUAUCUGUCAAUAUUCAUUGCAUCAUUGAACCAAUGUACAAUGCAUUAAUCAUCACUGAAGAUAACCAGAUGAGGCUUUAUUGUAAUCUCCUUCUAUUUUGCUGAGAUAAUUUCACUUGCUUUAGAGUUUAUGAGGCCAUAAGUGGCUCCCAUCUGUUGAUGAACAUAUUUCUAAGAGUCAUUUAGUCUCAAGUAUGGAAUACUUGAGGGGAAGUUAAAUUGUAACUUUUAUAUUAAGUGUCAUCUUAGUAACAGAACCAAAAUUGGAAGCAUGUGUUCAAUUUUGGUUUUUCAUUUUCAAAGCUUUAGGUCAGGCAAAGAAUUAAUUUCAUUUGUUUACAAAGUAGAUUAUGCCUAAUAAAAUCUAUUUUGUUUAUGGUCACAUUUUAAUCAAUCCACUGCUUUAGAAAAUGAGAGAAUUCUGAUUGGCUAAUCAUUCAACAUAGUAAAUUACAUUAUUCCACAUCCACAGAACACUGGCCUAAUUGCAUUAUCCAGUAAUGAUAAAAAUAUUCCUUUUAAUACAUUUUGAGCAAGGCAUAUACCAGUGAUGAAACAGGGAAGAAUCUUGUUUAUUCCAUCCUUGUUUGAUGAUCGACCACAGAAUAUAACAUAACACUUCUGUGUAUAAGAAUUUUUUCAACAUUAAGGAUAAUAAGGACAAGGUAGUUUUCACUGGAUCCUUACUGGUACUCUGAAUUUUCACUAUUUGUCCGCAUUUCUUCUCCUUCCCGGAAAUUUGUUUUCUGCGAAAAACAAGUGCUACUUUGUCAAAUAAAGCUUAAAUAAAAUUGGUUUCAAUUUAUGCAUAAUAAAAGGAAUGCCUAGUGACUUUCUAUCUCUAGUGGGAGGUAGAAAACUCUCCAGGGUGACUUUAUUCACUCCAGAGGUUCUGGUGAGCACCAAGGAACAUUACCUCUGCAAAAUGCAGACAUACGCAAAAGGAUGCAUCAAAUUUAAGAGAAGUCCGUAGAUAGAUAUCUGAGGGAUCUGCCUUAGGGGAUGUAGACCAUAUAUACAACACGAAUUCCACAGAAUUAGCCUGGUAUUCACGAUCACUGUUUCUUAAAACAUAACUCUUUUAUGUUACCAAGCAACUUUUAUCUGAGAUGAUGACUACUCGAAUACUUCUUUUGCAUAUCGCCAGAAAAUAUCAAGUUUUCAUUUGAGUCCUUAAUUCAAGUUCUUUAUCACAAGAAGAAAGAAUAGCAUGGAUAAAAUGGUUUAAAGGUAGCCAAAAAAAAAACAAAACAUUGUAUUUUAGAAUGCAUAUUCAAACAUAUUCCAAAAAAUACUGUAUUUUAGAAUGCAUAUUCAAACAUGAUGACAAGUGGGCUCUGUGGCUCAUAUUGACAAUAGCUUUAACCUAUGAAGUGAGUGUCUUUCUAUACGGAGGUGAUGAGUUACUCAAUACUGAACGGCUCUACUAAAUUGUGCUUUUGGCUAUUAGAACUUGGCUACUGCCUUUCGUUGCUAUGUGUUGAGAGAAAAAUCUCAAAUGAUGAUGCUAACCAUUUUGCUAAUAAAAUAUGCUAAGCUG
rnacentral:lncRNA from 1 species